CCACUAAGUCAUGAUGAUAUCAUAACAUAUGUUCUUGUAGGUUUCAACUAUGAAUACGAUAACUUUAUGGCAUCAAUAUCAGCACACAUUGAUAGUAGUACUAUUGAAGAAAUCUAUUCCUUUUUGCUUACCUCUGAAG